UCAACCUCCCUAAGCACCCCCUCACCUCCUAUUUUUCCAUUUCCCUUAUGAGAUCACUUGUAUUCUGCCAUUCUCCUCUCUAUUGCUUCUACCACCACCUCCAGCCCUAUCCUGGCAAUGGUAUUAUUUUACAUCCCUGUUUUCUGUAGUUUCUACAGGCUACAGAAUCACAUUUGAAGAUCCAAAUCUCUCCAAUGAAAGAGAACAUGAGACUCUAAGACAAACAUUUUAAUUUUCUACACGAUAUUAUAAACAUGAACUCACCAAAGAUGACCAUAGAGUGAUUCUGUUUUGAAAUUUCUGUUUUAAAGAGAUUCCUUCCCAUGCAGUGAAAAUCAAGGUCUCCAGUGUUAUCACACAUCAUCAAUACCUUUGGUGUUUAUGUAAGUUAUUUGUCGUGGUUACCCAAAUCAAUUUAAUAUCAAAUUAAUUUAGUUUAGUACUUUAAAGCCAGCUUUAUGAUACAGAAAUAAAAAUGACUAUACUGACUUGUGUUAGAAGAGUGCCAAAUUAUAUAGUUCACUUACAUAUUUCACGUAUAUAGUACAUGCAUGUAUGUAUGGAAACUAUGCAGAAAUUGGUGGGUGAGACCACCCUAUAACAUUUCCAUUUAUAUGAUACCAUGAGUCACAUAUUUUAUGCUUACAUAAUUUUUGCUCCUAAAAAGCUUAAUCUAGCAAAAUAAUGGAUUCUUCCCAAUUGCCAGAAUCAAACAUUUGGUUUUCUCAACAAUAUAUAUAUUUUAGUAGCUGUAUAGUGAUGCUCUGUCUUUUAAAAUUCCAGGCUAAAAGCUAGGGAGAUGGUUGAGUGGUUAAGAUGAUUUUUGCUCUUGCAAAUGACAGGAGUUAGAUUCCCAACAAUGACAUGGUGGCUCAUAACCGUCUAUAAAUCUAGUUCCAGGGGAUACAUUAACCUAUCUAACCCAGGCAUGCAAGUGGCACACAGACAUACACGCAGGCAAAACACUCAUCUUUAUAAAUAAAACAAGCAUUAAAAUAAACAAACAAACAAACAAAUAAAUGCUCUAGUAUAAUACUUAAUUCAAGCCUUGGUCUCUGAACUGAAAGAACUAUAGCUAUAGCACAAUUCUAAUUUUAAAUUUGCAAAUGUAUGUAGAAUCAUUUAUUAUUUCUUAUGUCUUCAACUUAUUAAUAUAGCACAUGUGUUAUGAGUCAUACAAAAAGAUGCAUGCAACUCCCCACUCUAUUUCAUAUUCAUUGCGAAGUAGAUGCUUAUCACAUACAGAAAAUAACACAUCUUCUGAUGGAUCAAGUAGAAUCUUCCUCUGGGGUUCAUUGAAUCUGAGACUGGACCAGAAAUGACCAGAGCUACCAUGGCUAUAAACUGAGUUGUUAACAUAUGCCUGCCCCGAGAAAAGUCAUUUGUUUUAUUUGGAAAAAUAAUUUGCAAUGCUGGGGUUAAUCUAAAUAUUUUGUACAUUUUAGGAGAGCACUCUAAAACUGAUAUGCAUGAUCUCAAGCUCUGGCUUUUUGUUGCUUGUUUGCUUUUUCUUUCCGGUUUUAAGACAAGACCUCACUAUACAGCUGAUGCAGGCUUGACCUUGCUAUGUAUGUAGAUGUUCUUAAAUUUAUGUUCUUUAUGCUUCUGCCUCCUGAGUGACAGAGUUACUGGUUUGAAUAUCAAACUGAACCAUUCAUUUUAAUUUAAAAUUUAAGUAUUUAUCAGAGAUUUGUAUUUGAUAACUCUGUCAGUUCCAUAGCAAAAGAAUAACAAGGCCUAUACUAAUGUAAUGCUAACUAAAAAGCCCUAAAAUAGAAGAAAACAUCCGAGAUAAAGUCUACAAAGUUGUAUAGUGCCAGGGAGAAUUGGAUCCUCUAUGACACUCUGACUAUUCACUGUAUACGCACCUCACAGUCUACAGGAGUAUACAGGUUAGGGCUGAUCAGGCUGAUGUGAAAUCACAGGAACACAUUCAGAGCAUACGCUGUAGAUGACAGUUAUUGCUGUGCGUCUGGAUUUCACAUUACUUUAAGUUGUAAACUCUAGUUGUAGGUACUAAAACUCAAAGUGUAUUCAUAAACAUUCAUAAUAGUGGAGAAGUUAUAACUAUGAAAUUUACCUAGAGCAAAACAUUAUGCAGUCUGUAGGCAGAUAUCUGAAGAGAACUGCAACAAAAUAAACCAAGAGCAGCUUCAUCCACAUAUCUACAUUCUUCAGAGACAAAUCAGUUUACUUUUUCAUUGCCAUAAUAUUUGAUUUUGAAAGUUUUGUUUUAUGGUUGUCUCUGUAUUCUGCUUUGUGCAGAUGUAAUAAUACAAUGAUUAUGCAUGGAUAUACAAAUAUAUUACAUCAGAGGUAUCAUUUUUUUAACUGUUCUUUGGAAAUUGAGUUUAGCACAAGUGUAACUGGAAGCACACAGACACUGACUAGAAUAUUACAGUCUCACACUUAUGAGCCAGUUCCCUGAGAUGAAGCAGCAGCAGCAAAAGUGUCACUGCAGAGAAUGUGGGGAAGCAAUCAUACCCAGAGUUUCAUCACAAAUUGCAUGGCAUAAGUUUGGGAAAGAUAUGAAAAUGUUAACUGAAAAUGUGUGUGUGUGUGUGUGUGUGUGUGUGUGUGUGUGUGAAAUUAUUGGGCUCCUGGGCCUAAGAAUAGAUCAAUAUCAUAGUGUGUGCUAAGACUGUGAUCACAAAUAACUAUAACACCUAAAUGAAAAGCUGAGGAUUAUAUCAUUAUAUGUUCAUGAAAAUAAAAUAAAGUUUAUGG
rnacentral:lncRNA from 1 species